rnacentral:rRNA from 1 species
AUGUUUUCCAAGGCAAACGGUGUGGGAGCUAAUGAGGUGAACCUGGUUUUGGACCUAUAUUGUCAGGCCACGGGUUAGCAUAUAAACCAUGCAAAAUCUUCUACCUUAUUUAGUAAGGGGGUGCCUGAUAGCACAAGACGGGAUAUAAAAACCUUGCUAAACGUCCAGAACGAGACUCUAAAUGAAAAGUAUCUGGAUAUGCUAUCGGACAUUGGUGGGUCAAAAAAUGGGGCGUUCAAAUAUCUCAAAGAUCGUCUAUGUAGCAAAAUUCAGGGAUGGAUUACAAAAGCUUUGUCAUCAGCGGGUAAAGAGGUUCUUGUGAAAUCUGCUGCACAAGCAGUGCCUGUUUUUUCCAUGUCCUGUUUCAAACUCCCUAGGGGUUUAUGUGAACACCUAAACAUGAUGAUCAGAAAGUUUUGGUGGGGGAGGAAAGAUGGCCAACGCAAACCACAUUGGGUAUCCUGGAAAACAAUGACACAACCUAAAGGUAUGGGUGGCUUAGGUUUCAAAGAUUUUGAGCUUUUUCAUCUUGCAAUGCUAGCUCGCCAGGCAUGGCGAUUAUUGCAGAAUCCAGAUUCCCUAAGUGGCCGAAUCUUGAAAGGUGUGUACUUCCCUAACACUACAAUCCUGGAAGCUGUGUUGCGAAAUCACCCAAGCCAAAUUUGGAGGGCAUUGAUAGAGGGAAGGGACACUUUGAAGUUGGGCUUAAUUAAGAGAAUUGGUAACGGAAAUUCAACGAACAUUUGGAACGACAAUUGGCUUCCACGUGAUGAGAUGCUACGCCCCUAG